GAUGAACGCUAGCUACAGGCUUAACACAUGCAAGUCGAGGGGCAGCAUGAAAGGAACUUCGGUUCUUUUUGAUGGCGACCGGCGCACGGGUGCGUAACGCGUGAGCAAUCUGCCUUUCAGAGGGGGAUAACAGCCGGAAACGGCUGCUAAUACCGCAUAAUGCAUCGGAUUCGCAUGUUUCUGAUGCCAAAGAUUUUAUCGCUGAAAGAUGAGCUCGCGUCUGAUUAGCUAGUUGGCGGGGUAACGGCCCACCGAAGGCGACGAUCAGUAGCCGGACUGAGAGGUUGAACGGCCACAUUGGGACUGAGACACGGCCCAG
rnacentral:rRNA from 1 species